rnacentral:misc_RNA from 1 species
AAGUCGUAACAAGGUUUCCGUAGGUGAACCUGCGGAAGGAUCAUUAAUGAAUUGUAAAGGAUAGCUGAUGCUGGUUGGCUAUCCGCCGCAUGUGCUCGCUAUCCAACAACUUAUUAUCCAUACACCUGUGCACAUUCUUUGGGGGGAAGGCCGCAUGUCCGUUUGGUGAUGCACGCCGUCCCCUCAUUUUAUCUAAACCCAGUUUGUAAACCUAUGAACACAAUUGUUGGGUCGGAAGACCCUUUAAAUCUUAUACAACUUUUAACAACGGAUCUCUUGGCUCUC